CCGACGACCGGCGCACGGGUGCGUAACGCGUAUACAAUCUACCUUAUACUGGGGGAUAGCCUUUAGAAAUGAAGAUUAAUACCCAUGGUCUAUAGAUAUGGCAUCAUAUUUAUAGUAAAGGUUACGGUAUAAGAUGAGUAUGCGUCCUAUUAGUUAGUUGGUGUGGUAACGGCACACCAAGACUACGAUAGGUAGGGGCCCUGAGAGGGGGAUCCCCCACACUGGUACUGAGACACGGACCAG
rnacentral:rRNA from 1 species